rnacentral:rRNA from 1 species
CAAAAACAUCGCCUCCCGCAAAAACCGAAGUAUAGGAGGUCCUACCUGCCCAGUGACUAUUUGUUUAACGGCCGCGGUAUCUUGACCGUGCUAAGGUAGCGAAAUCACUUGUCUUUUAAAUGAGGACCUGUAUGAAUGGUGGAACGAGGGCUUAACUGUCUCCUUUUUCAAGUCAGUGAAAUUGAUCUGCCCGUGCAGAAGCGGACAUAAAUAUACAAGACGAGAAGACCCUUUGGAGCUUAAGACAUACAGUCAACUGUGUUAAAAGUUCUACCAAAAAAAUUAAACUAAACAAUAACUGACUUUGCGUCUUCGGUUGGGGCGACCGCGGGGGAAAACAAAGCCCCCACGUAGAAUGGGACAACUCCCUAAAACCAAGAGAAACAUCUCUAAGUCACAGAACCUCUGACUAAAAGAUCCGGCACACGCCGAUCAACGAACCAAGUUACCCUAGGGAUAACAGCGCAAUCCCCUCCAAGAGCCCGUAUCAACAAGGGGGUUUACGACCUCGAUGUUGGAUCAGGACAUCCUAAUGGUGCAGCCGCUAUUAAGGGUUCGUUUGUUCAACGAUUAAAGUCCUACGUGAUCUGAG